UAGUGGAGGAAGAUUCCACCCAGAGAGUUGUCGAUUGAUCUGGUAGCUGACGAGCGGUUCGGCCGGGUAACCGGCAGGGCUGGAGCCUCGUGACAAAGGCCGCUUUAGGCGGUUGAGCAAUCCGGCGGGCCGUAACGUGA
rfam:Bradyrhizobium erythrophlei strain GAS478 genome assembly, contig: Ga0132009_11